UACAUGCAGUCGAGCGAACAGAUGAGAAGCUUGCUUCUCUGAUGUUAGCGGCGGACGGGUGAGUAACACGUGGGUAACCUACCUAUAAGACUGGGAUAACUCCGGGAAACCGGGGCUAAUACCGGAUAAUAUUUUGAACCGCAUGGUUCGAUAGUGAAAGACGGUUUCGGCUGUCACUUAUAGAUGGACCCGCGCCGUAUUAGCUAGUUGGUAAGGUAACGGCUUACCAAGGCGACGAUACGUAGCCGACCUGAGAGGGUGAUCGGCCACACUGGAACUGAGACACGGUCCAGACUCCUACGGGAGGCAGCAGUAGGGAAUCUUCCGCAAUGGGCGAAAGCCUGACGGAGCAACGCCGCGUGAGUGAUGAAGGUCUUCGGAUCGUAAAACUCUGUUGUUAGGGAAGAACAAAUUUGUUAGUAACUGAACAAGUCUUGACGGUACCUAACCAGAAAGCCACGGCUAACUACGUGCC
rnacentral:rRNA from 2 species